UUUCCGUAGGUGAACCUGCGGAAGGAUCAUUACUGAGUGAGGGCCCUCUGGGUCCAACCUCCCACCCGUGUUUAUUGUACCUUGUUACUUCGGUGAGCCCGCCUCACGGCCGCCGGGGGGCAUCUGCCCCCGGGCCCGCGCUCGCCGAAGGCACCCUUGAACUCUGUCUGAAGUUUGCAGUCUGAGCGAAAACUAAAUAAGUUAAAACUUUCAACAACGGAUCUCUUGGUUCCG
rnacentral:misc_RNA from 1 species